UCUCUCCCUUCCUCUCUGAAAUCAAUAAAGAUAUGUUUAAAAAAAAAAAAAAAGGAAAAUAGAGAAAAGAUGAGCAAAAGUUAAUCACUGUGCAUAGAUAAAUGUGUCCUAAGUGUCCUUGGUAAUUGCCUGCUCAUUGUUCUUUGUAUGGCCAGCAGCUUUCCCCAUGAACCCUCUGUGGUUGCACAAAGAGUGCCUCCAGUGUGAUAUCUUUCCACAAACAGCUUUUCCUGACAUCCCACGGGCAGAUUCCCAGCAAGCCCUGCUGGCACGGCACCUCAGCCUCUCCUCUGCCAUUCCACUGACCACAGUCACACCCUCCCCAGUGAGAUCUGGAUCUCAGCUCUGGGGUUCACCAUCCCAGUCCUGGGGAGAUAUGGCUGCUCCUUAGGUAUCUAUCAGAUGUUCUUAGAGUUCUCUUUACUUCUUAGCAGCCCAUUCCUUGUAUCCCAGUGCUGUUAGUUACUGAUUCCUAUUUUCACCUUUCCCUGGAUGACUUCCUGUGUGGUUUCUCUCUUGGUUCGGACCCAGACUGAGGCACUGUUCCCAGCAGCAUGUGGGCACCAAGUGCUAAGCACUGAGUGGAUAACUGCAGAGACCUCAGGUGACACAGCCUGUCUCCAAAGGGCAAACGUGGUGGCCACGUGAAGUGGACAGAGCACAGGACUCUGAGAGUUAAGAUUUGUAGCACUUGCAGAAAUGUCUUUACUGCUGAAAAGUGAGGAAGGAGGUGGCAGGUGUGACUAACAACACAGUCCCCGUGCAUCUGCUAGGGAAUACAUUUUUUUCCCUCCAACGUAACAAAUUAGAACCCAUCUGGGAUUUGAGAAGGCUGAGUUAAGGUUUCCUGGAUCUGUUUGCCUAUGAAGCAAUAAUGAAAAGUGAAGGAGAUGAAGAAAAGUGAA